UGUUUAAGCUUAUAUGAAAUAGAAAUUUAUUCGAUGAAUCUACGAUGAAGUUAUAAUUCGUGAAACAACUUAAAAGCACAGCAAGAAAUGAACCUUUAAUGACAGAUGAACAGUAGCAAGUCUGGAGAUGAAAAAAAACGUGAUUUAAAAUUUUUCCCCCUUUCCCACCAAUUGCAUUAUCUUCUCAAAUUUCAUUUCCUUCAUCUAACCUCUAUUCGUUUUCUUUUUUUGUUUCCCCCUUCCUCAUUUUGUACCAUAAACUUCAUUGUUUCUUCUCCACAAUAUCUCUCUUUUCACUCUCUCAAUUUUCACAAAACAAAACCCACAAGUUACCCUAGUCGGUCGAUGCCUCAUGCUGUCAAUGUCUGCCAGCGUCGUUUUGCUGUUGCGCGCCGCUGUCGAGAAGUUAGAUAUGUUUAUUUUUCACUUGAUUUGUUUAUGUCUUCAUCUAUUUAGCAACUUCAUUUUCUACUUUCAUCAUUAUUGUGCGGUGAGUUGGAGUGAUUAAUUCGAACUUUCAUUCCCAAAAAUCUGUUACUUUAGUUUACUCUUUUGUACACCGAUAAACUAUAUAAAUUCUCAUUUUCUAAUACAAUUUAUUUAAAUAUUACUUACAUUUCUUUUUAAGUGGGUUUGAUAGGUGUGAUGGUUAAAUUCUCAUUUUUAUGCAUGAGAUUUUUAUCUGUGCUUUUCAUCAUCAAAAUGACGCUUGAAGUCCAUUUUAACCUUUCUAUUCUGUGAUUAUACUUCAAAAGGUACAUGUUUACUUUUGACUUAUUAUAUUUAUAUUUUGAGAGCAAUGCUUCGUGAAAGGAACAGGUUCAAGGAAGAUAAGGUUUGAGGUUCGAAUGUAUUUUGAGGUAUUAACAUGUUUUGAAUUGUUUCAAACUCGGUUGAAGUAUUGUAGAUCCUUUAUGGCAUUGUGAAAGACUGUAACUUAUAGUUUUGGACUUAUUCAGAGUGGUUGGGUAAGAUUUAUGGUGGAUUUUGAGUAAGAUAAUACCCCUCUUGUGAACACCUUCCAUUAUGAUUUAAGGUUGAUGGAAUUGAAUUCUAAUUAUCUAAAUUUUGCCUUUGAUUGUGUAGACUUUAAGGAAAUCGAGACAUUUAUUCGAGGGAAUGAAAUAUGGAUUAAGAACGGUGAGUAGUUCUCACACACUUCAAAAUUUAAGUUUGACUGAUUUGUGAUUUGAUAAGAGUUUGAUAUUGGAAAUGACUUAUUGGGAUUGGCCCAAAUAGCAAAGCUAUUAAUCCUUGUCCCACAUUGAUAAAUCUUGAAGUGGGAUGAGGACAUAUAAACUUCUAUCUUUAAAGGGACUACAAAUUGAGUAAGUGAUGAGUAAUAUUAUUAUGAUUCACACUUGGUUAAUAUACAGUGAUAUGAUAUACUCGAAUCAAUGAUUCAUCCUUUUAUUACUCAUCAUAAGACCUGCAGCUUCUGCAAUCAAUCCAUUUUCAUUUUUUAUGCCCAACAGCACCUUAUUUUUGACAACCGAUAUUUAUAUAUAUAUGACCUAUAUAUAUAAUUCUUAUUUUCACAAAGAUAUUUUGCAAGAUUCUUAAAAUAAAGAAAAAUUUUCUUCUAAACAAAAUCUUCUAACAUAAAUGUUUAUUAGAGUCAUUGUCUCUUGUAUUACUUUGAGUUCUACUUGUGGUUGGUCCCUCUUGAUUUUGUUUAUUUGAGUUCUUAAACCCAAAUGAGUUGUUUUUUUGUUUAUUUGAGUUCUUAAACCCAAAUGAGUUUUUUGUUUAUUUGUUUAUUAUUGUUAUAAAUUUGAAUAGAGUUUUUAUAUGUUUGCAAUUAAGCAUUAAAGAUUGGAGUUAGACAUCUGAUUUUUGAAAUAAGUGGCACUACUAAAAAGUUUUAUUUAAAAAUGUUUUAGUCUGCCAACUAAAAUAUUUAAAUUACAUUUAUCAUGUGAUUUAUCUUGAAAUUAUGAAUGAAAUGGGAACUAUUCUUUUUUUAAAGGGAAACAAAGCACCAUUAUUUUUGAAAAUAAGAGUAUGAUACAGGGGCUAGAGUAAAGCCCAAAGGUAUAUCUUAGUGUAGUAAAGCUUUUACAUUUAAGAGCAAUGGUGCUUGGGUUAUAAUUCUUAAAAAGAUGAUGCUUGCGUGUAGAUCCAGCCGCAAAGGGAUUUGAGGUCACUGUUUGUGGAAGAAAAACCUGUUUCAUCCUUUAAUUUUUGCCAAAGAAACUUAGCAAUAUUGCAAUUCAUAAAGAGAUGUUCUUUGUCUUCGCCAUUUGACUUGCAAAGAAAGCAUCAGCUUAGGUUAAGACAGGACCCGAGAUUCUUCUUUUGGAUAGUUUCCUUAGUAUUUAUUCCUCCAUGCAUCAGUGACCAGAGAAAAAACUUACAUUUUUUUGGGAUAUAGGAUUUCUAGAGGACUUUGUAAUGCUUUUCUUAAAAAACUUCAUGUCUGGGCUGGCCAUUAUUUAGUAAACUUUGCUUGACAGAGGCAAUGGUGAAGAUUUUGUCUACUUUCAGAGGCCACAACGUUUGCUCCGCCCUUUAUCAAUAUACGAAAUAGGUAGAGCAUCUGUUAUUUGUUGCCAAGUUGAAGAUUCUCUGCUGUUAAGGGGCCACCUAGGUUUUAAAGACCACUUGUUUCUAUUGUUAUGCCACAAAUCUUUAACAUCAGCAUCUUUGGCUUGAGAGAGGGCGUAUAACUUGGAAAAUCUUUUUGGAAGGAUUCCAAGGGAGCUCCAACUAACGUGCCAAAAGGAUAUAAUAUCCCCGCUGUUUACCUCCCAUGAAUAAUUUUCUUCAAACCAACUAAGGCCUACUACAGUAGAGGGCCUUUGCACUACUUUGUUUACCAAAAUUAGGAAUAACACCUAGAUGGGGGGCUUUAUAUUUAGCUUGGAUAAUUCUCCUCCAAAGAGCAUUGAGAUCCAAAUGGUAUCUUCAGGGCCACUUGCAAAGAAGAGCAAAAUUUGUCACUUUUAAAGAUGUUAUACCCAAGCCUCCCUUGUCUUAUGGUGUAAACUUUCAAUCAAUUGAUGAGAUGAGAUCUUGAUUUUUCAUUUAAACCUUUUCAAAGAAAAUUCCUCUAGUGUUUCUCUAUCUUCUUGUAAAUAGUGGUUUGUGCUUUAAAGAUCGAGAGUUGGUACGUGGGAAGACUAUACAACGUAGCGUUUAUAAGGAAAUUUUUUGUGAGAGGAUUACCACCCAGAGGAAUGCCCCAGUAUGGAAUUGGAAGAAGCUGAUGGGUGAUCUUCCAAGAAUUUGUAACUUCUGUAGCACGUUCACUUGGUACAUGUAUGAGGCAAAGGGGAAGACUUUGGGAGGUUUAUGUUGAGACCCGAAGCUUUUUAAAAAAGAGAGAUAGCCAUAUGUAGAUUGUGAAGAUAUGUGUCGUUAUCUUCAAUAAAUAAUAGGAUGUCGUUGGCAAAAAAAAAAAAAAAAAAGGGUCAAGCUGCAUUGAGAAUUGAAGUUAACCCUUUGAUAGCAUUUGUUUUCUCAAAGUGCUACAAAAGCCUACUGAAAUAGUCCAUGACAAUGACAAAUAUAGAAGGGGAGAUAGGGUCUCCUUGACGAAUUCCUCUAUUUAAAGGAAUUCGGCCAUGAAGUCUCCUAUUUAUGAGCAUAGAAUAUUUGACAUUACUGAUGCAAGCUCUAAUCCACUUCCUCCAAGUUAGAGGGAAGUUCUUCACUUUGGCAUGUAAUCAAUAAAAUCCCAGUUGAUUUUAUCAAAGGCUUGUUCAAUGUCUAGUUUGAUGACAAAUCCCUUUGUUUUGCUACAUUUCUAGUAGUCUAUAGCUUUGUUGGCCAUUAAAAUGACCCUGUUAUUUGUCUUCCCUUUACAAAAGAGAGUUAAUUUUUAGAGAUAGUUUUUAGAAGGGUGGAUUCAAUCUAUUUGCUAAUGUCCUAGCAAUGAUUUUGUACAGGAAAGUGGUGAGAUUGAUCGACCUAUAGUCUUUGGCAAAAUUGUAGGCUUUUUUUUUUUUUUUUGAAACCAACGCAAUAUGAGUGUUGUUCACAUUAUUGUUGAUAACCCCUUUGCUGUGAAAGUCUUUGAAGACUUCCAUAAUGUCUGUUUUAAGAAUAUGCUAGAAGGACUUAUAAGAAUGCAAUGGAAUGCUGUCCGGGCCCAGAGCUUUAUUAUUUUCAAAGGAGAAGAUGAUUUUUCUGAUUUCCUCUUCCUCAAAAGAAGCACAUAGAAGUUGAUGAUGAUCAUCCAAAAUUUGGUGCCAAUCAAGAUUUUCGAGGAGAAUGAUGCUCAUGUUUUUUCCAUUGUAGAGAUUCUUAAAAUAGUGUACAAGAGCAUCGACAAUGGAGAUAUUUGAGCAGUGGGUGUUGCCUUGAUCGUCCUGAAUUUCUGAAAUAACAGAUUUUCUUUGCUUUGCUGUGCAACAUUUGUGAAAGAAUGCUGUAUUCUCAUCCCCAUCUUUAAUCCAAAUUUUCUUUGCCCGUUGGACCCA